GCUGUGCGUGCACCGUUGCCAGGUUACUGUACAUUCCUCCUUUCUGUGCAUUCGUUGCAACCAAACAGACGUCAUUUUAACGAAGACAAACGCGGUUUAAACUGACAAUAACCGACAGAAUAGACAUUUUAAAUGCAUACCGACCUGUAGUUUGACUCUUUUCGUGUCUUUGUGCCGAGAUUUGACUUUUUCUGAGGUUUAAACGACAAUUUUCAACUUGCAUUCAGGAUUGUAUGCUAUGUGGCUAAUGCUAGCUUAGCGUCAGCUUCAUAAUAAUUUAAAAGAAAACGACAAAACGUUUAUUUUAUAGUGUAUAUUUUUAUAUAUAUACAUUCAUUAAAUUCCACAGAGUCCACUUCAGUCAGUACGUAACUUGUGUUUCUCGAGGACCGUUUAGACGUCCAGAUAAACUUUACAUCGGAGGCUAACGUUGAUUUAAACGGGAGGUAAAUGUGAAUUAACCCGGUAAUCUGACGGUGUCCUAUGGAGCGAGCUGACCGGGGGAAAGGGCCUCGACUGCUAAGGAACCAACCCUACGACGAAAGCCUGGAGGUGGUGGACGGUGAGGAGGUCGCCAGCGUCUACAGCCCGACUCCCCGCGGCCAUCGUCAGCCGGAGCCGAGGAAGAACAGGAGCCUUCACGGCCUCAUGUCGGCCGACAGCAGCAGCGACGAGCUGGACGAGGACCACAAGCCUCAGAGGGCCACCGAGCCGGCGGGGGCCCGGCCCGGGGUCAGUCCCGAUGAGGAUGAGGAGGAAGAGGAGGAAGAAGAUUCUGAUGACGAUACAGACGACGACGACGAGCCUACGGAGGCUCUGGAGGGAGCGUACGACCCCGCAGACUACGCCAACCUGCCCGUCAGCACCGAGAUCAAAGAGCUGUUCCAGUACAUCACACGAUACACCCCCCAGUCCAUGGACCUGGACCACCGCCUGAAACCGUUCAUCCCAGACUUCAUCCCCGCUGUUGGAGACAUUGACGCCUUUCUGAAGGUACCAAGGCCUGAUGGGAAAUCAGACAGUCUUGGACUUCUGGUCCUGGAUGAGCCCAGCGUGAAGCAGUCAGACCCAACAGUUCUGUCUCUGUGGCUGUCUGAGGAGACCAAACAGCACGGAGCUGCAGAGUUGAAGAAGGUGACCAGCGUGGCCGGUCCUCAGACCAACCCUCGGGCCGUGGACAGCUGGGUGGACAGCAUCAGCGCUCUGCACCGCUCCAAGCCUCCGGCCAGCGUCCAAUAUGGCCGCCCCAUGCCCGACAUCGACAGCCUGAUGCAGGAGUGGCCGACCGAGCUGGAGGAGCUGCUGGGACGCCUGCAGCUGCCUCCGGCCCGCCUGGACUGCAGCCUGUCCCAGUACGUGGACAUCGUCUGCAGCCUGCUGGACGUCCCCGUCUACCUGAGCAGGAUCCAGUCCCUGCACCUGCUCUUCAGCCUCUACCUGGAGUUCAGAGACUCCCAGCACUUCACCCGCAGAGCCUAGAGGACACCACCAGGCCCAGGUGUCCUACACCCAACCCAGACUUCCCUCAGAGCCUAGAGGACACCACCAGGCCCGGGUGUCCCACACCCAACCCAGACUUCCCACAGGUUAACUCCAGGUUCUGGUUCUCCAGGUUUUCUUUGGUCCCUGUCAGACUGUGUAAUAAAGGUGAGAACAGGUGAACUCCAGGUUCUGGUUCUCCAGGUUUUCUUUGGUCCCUGUCAGACUGUGUAAUAAAGGUGAGAACAGGUGAACUCCAGGUUCUGGUUCUCCAGGUUUUCUUUGGUCCCUGUCAGACUGUGUAAUAAAGGUGAGAACAGGUGAACUCCAGGUUCUGGUUCUCCAGGUUUUCUUUGGUCCCUGUCAGACUGUGUAAUAAAGGAUCCAGAGGUUCUGGUUCUGUCCUGGGACCGAUCUGGAUCUGAUUGUCCAGAGACGAAAGAGCUGCUGGACACGAUGGACGAUUCUUCACAUCCUGUACGCGCAACAGGGUGGAGGUUCAGUCAGAGGCUUCUUCAGGUCUGCCGUAAGACAGAAAGAUGGUCCCCAUCACCCUCUGGAACAACAUGGCUGACAUUUAAAUAAUAAAGUCUUUAAAUCUUC